AGGACGAACGCUGGCGGCGUGCUUAACACAUGCAAGUCGAGCGGAAAGGCCCUUCGGGGUACUCGAGCGGCGAACGGGUGAGUAACACGUGAGCAACCUGCCCCUGGCUCUGGGAUAGCUCCGGGAAACCGGGAUUAAUACCGGACAUGACCUCCUCCCGCAUGGGUGGGGGUGGAAAGUUUUUUCGGCCAGGGAGGGGCUCGCGGCCUAUCAGCUUGUUGGCAGGGUAAUGGCCUACCAAGGCGACGACGGGUAG
rnacentral:rRNA from 1 species